rnacentral:rRNA from 1 species
UCAAGCUACAAAGGGCGCAAGGAGAAUGCCUUGGCACUGGGAGCCGAUGAAAGACGUGGUAAGCUGCGAUAAGCUUCGGGGAGGAGCAAACAUCCUUUGAUCCGGAGAUUUCUGAAUGAGGAAACUCACCAGAGUUCAUACUCUGGUAUCCUGUACUGAAUCCAUAGGUACAGGAGGGGAACCGCCUGAACUGAAACAUCUAAGUAGGGCGAGGAAGAGACAUCAAACGAGAUUCCGUAAGUAGUGGCGAGCGAACGCGGAAGAGGGCAAACCGAGAGUAGAAAUACUUUCGGGGUACGGACUGCUUUUAGGACUUAAUCUGUUAACCGAACGGCAUGGGAAGGCCGGUCAGAGAGUGUGAGAACCACGUAGGUGAAAACGGAGAGAGCUGCGCAGAUUCCAGAGUACGGCCAGACACGUGAAACCUGGUCGGAAGAUGGGGGGACCACCCUCCAACCCUAAAUACUACCCAGUGACCGAUAGCGUAUAGUACUGUGAAGGAAAGGUGAAAAGCACCCCGGGAGGGGAGUGAAAAAGAACCUGAAACCCUGUGCCUACAAGCACCUAGAGCGCGUCAAUGCGUGAUAGGGUACUUUUUGUAGAACGGUCCGGCGAGCGAUUGUAUGCAGCAAGGUUAAGGACUUAAGGUCUGGAGCCGAAGCGAAAGCGAGUUUGAAAAGGGCGUUAAGUUGCAUAUAAUGGGCCCGAAACCGGGUGACCUACCCAUGGUCAGGUUGAAGUGGAAGUAAAAUUCCAUGGAGGACCGAACCGACCUCCGUUGAAAAGGCGGCGGAUGAACUGUGGGUAGCGGAGAAAUUCCAAUCGAACCCGGAGAUAGCUGGUUCUCCCCGAAAUAGUUUUAGGACUAGCCUCAAGUUAGAUACCUGGAGGUAAAGCACUGAAUAGCCUAGCGGCCGAGAGGUUAGCGAAGCUUAUCAAACUCAGAAUGCCAGAGUAUUGAUGCUUGGGAGUCAGACAGUGUCAGAUAAAUGUCAUUGUCAAAAGGGAAACAGCCCAGAUCUACAGCUAAGGUCCCAAAGUCAGGUUAAGUGGAAAACGAUGUGAAGAUACGCAGACAACCAGGAUGUUGGCUCAGAAGCAGCCACUCAUUCAAAGAGUGCGUAAUAGCUCACUGGUCGAGCGUCUUUGCGCGGAGAAUUUAACGGGGCUAAACCUGACACCGAAGCUUAGGCAAUACAGCAAUGUAUUGGGUAGGGGAGCGUUGUAUACGCGGUGAAACAGUAGCGCAAGCGGCUGUGGAGUGUAUAGAAGUGAGAAUGCCGGAAUGAGUAGCGCGAAUGCAGUGAGAAUCUGCAUGGCCGAAAGCCUCAGGUUUCUGGAGGAAGGUUCGUCCGCUCCAGGUUAGUCGGGAGCUAAGGUGAGGCCUAACGGCGUAGCCGAUGCACAGACGGUAGAGAUUCCGUCACCACCAAAAGAGUUAAGCACAGGGACACAUUUGAAGUCUCAGAGCCGGGUGUUGGUUCCGGUAGAGAUCGAGGGAAAUUAGUACCGAAGUCUGAGAUGGAAGAUGGCGAGAAAAGCUGUGUGUAUUUCUGAGGUGCCCGUACCGCAAACCGACACAGGUAGGUAGGAAGAAGAUUCUAAGGCCAACGGGAGAAGGGUUGUUAAGGAACUCGGCAAAUUGACCCCGUAACUUCGGGAGAAGGGGUGCUCCAGAGAUGGAGCCGCAGAGAAUCGGCCCAAGCAACUGUUUACCAAAAACACAGGUUUGUGCUAAAUCGAAAGAUGACGUAUACGAGCUGACGCCUGCCCGGUGCUGGAAGGUUAAGAGGAGAUGUGCAAGCAUUGAAUCGAAGCCCCAGUGAACGGCGGCCGUAACUAUAACGGUCCUAAGGUAGCGAAAUUCCUUGUCAGGUAAG